GUGGGAGGAAGGGGAACGUGGCGAGGUCCGGCCAGGUGGAGCGGUGAGAUGCAGCAGGCACCCUGGGAUGCUGGCUGGGCAGGGGGACGCUCCCCGGCUACAGCAUGCAGGCCUCAGGAGCUGCACUUCUUAAUACCUGUGAUAAAAUGGGCAUCCCAACGCUCAAGAGGUGAGAUUUCCUCAGCUAGAGUUGAGCUUAUGGAUGCAGCCCUCAGUCAUUGGGCAGCUUUCAUGUCGGAUUGAUUUUUCUGUGCAUGAGGCAGGGUUGCUUCCUCACGUGGCAGUUUUGUUUGGCGGGCCGUGGGUUGCUCGACCCUUCACCGCUAAUGCUGUCACCUUCUAAUAAAGGCAUUGAUUUGUAGCUUUGGGCUGGGAUACCUGGGACAGCUGUCACUCUGCCCUGAAGUCAUAAAUCCUCAUGGCCUUCCUCAUCUGCCAGUCCUCCGUGAUUAAAGCGAGAGCUCCUCUGAGCGAUGAAUCACCAAGGCUCAUAGGCGUUUGCGAGCCGCGUUACUGCUGCAGCCCACUCUGUGUGUUGUCCAGGCACCGUUUGCCUGACACAAACAAUAGAUGAGAUGUCAAACAUGUGGAAUUGCUCUGGAAGGAAACAGCAAUGAUCUCCUCAGCUCCAGGUUUCUUAUUUCCUUUUAAGCUUGGAAAUUAAACGUGGGGGUUCUCCAAAACUAACACAAACGCUCGGGUGGUUGGUAGUUUCCUUUAUUUGUGCAUAUAAAGCACGUUUCGGUGCAGCAGGGGGAGAGAUGCCAUUAAUACCUAAUACUAAGCAUGCAAAUUACUACUGGAUUUUGUGUAAGCAAUUUAGAGCCCGUUGGUUUUUUUCCGCAGUGCUCCCUUCUAUUUAUCAAUUUCUUCCCUGUACCUCUCUGCUCGCCUGUGUCUUCAUUCAUCAUUCAUUUACACAGCCAUUCAGAGCAUCAGAAACCAAUUUCCUCCCUGAAUCUGGUCCUGUACCAAAACAAGGCUGCCCCGCAUGCAAGUGAUGUUAUGAAGAUCACGACGCAGCUGGACCCGGGCACCUUGCCAGCACUAAUGGUUGCAGCCACCCAGCACCUCCACGAGCAGCACGGCCCGGCAUCCCUGGUGCCAGUGGGGACGCGGGGUGGUGACGGGAGCCGUGCCCUGCCUGCCGUCCUCCUGUGAGCGCGUGCCAGGGCUCGCCGGAGCACGGCCGCCUCUCCGUAAGUCUAGCUCUUAGUGUUGGAAAAGCAGAAGCCAGUUGUGUCAUGCCUGCUGGAACAGACGAGGUACUAACUGCCGCCCAGCGCAGGCUUUGUUGGCAGCCCACCUUCCUAACAGGUGAACAGGUAGAGCAAAAGGAAGGAUGCUGCAGCAGGACGUGGGCUGCAAAUGGAACAAAACCAACUUCAAAUGUGCGAUGCAAAUAGAAGGUAGGAGUAGCAAUAGCAUUUUUUAGCAGCAACCUGUAACACUGCUGGCUUUGAUGCCUUUACAAUAAAAUCCUAAGUAAGCCUGCA
rnacentral:lncRNA from 1 species